AUUGAACGCUGGCGGCAUGCCUUACACAUGCAAGUCGAACGACGCUAGGGGCAACUCUAGCGAGUGGCGUACGGGUGAGUAAUGCAUCGGAACGUGCCCUCUCGUGGGGGAUAACCAGUCGAAAGAUUGGCUAAUACCGCAUGAGCUCGAGAGAGGAAAGCGGGGGACCGCAAGGCCUCGCGCGAGAGGAGCGGCCGAUGGCCGAUUAGCUAGUUGGUGGGGUAAUGGCCCACCAAGGCGACGAUCGGUAGCUGGUCUGAGAGGACGACCAGCCACACUGGGACUGAGACACGGCCCAGACUCCUACGGGAGGCAGCAGUGGGGAAUUUUGGACAAUGGGGGCAACCCUGAUCCAGCCAUGCCGCGUGUGUGAAGAAGGCCUUCGGGUUGUAAAGCACUUUCGGACGGAACGAAAUCGCGCGGGUGAACAAUCCGCGUGGAUGACGGUACCGUAAGAAGAGGCACCGGCUAACUACGUGCCAGCCGCCGCGGUAA
rnacentral:rRNA from 1 species